GACGAACGCUGGCGGCGUGCUUAACACAUGCAAGUCGAACGGAAAGGCCCUGCUUUUGUGGGGUGCUCGAGUGGCGAACGGGUGAGUAACACGUGAGUAACCUGCCCUUGACUUUGGGAUAACUUCAGGAAACUGGGGCUAAUACCGGAUAGGAGCUCCUGCUGCAUGGUGGGGGUUGGAAAGUUUCGGCGGUUGGGGAUGGACUCGCGGCUUAUCAGCUUGUUGGUGGGGUAGUGGCUUACCAAGGCUUUGACGGGUAGCCGGCCUGAGAGGGUGACCGGCCACAUUGGGACUGAGAUACGGCCCAGACUCCUACGGGAGGCAGCAGUGGGGAAUAUUGCACAAUGGGCGGAAGCCUGAUGCAGCAACGCCGCGUGCGGGAUGACGGCCUUCGGGUUGUAAACCGCUUUCGCCUGUGACGAAGCGUGAGUGACGGUAAUGGGUAAAGAAGCACCGGCUAACUACGUGCCAGCAGCCGCGGUGAUACGUAGGGUGCGAGCGUUGUCCGGAUUUAUUGGGCGUAAAGGGCUCGUAGGUGGUUGAUCGCGUCGGAAGUGUAAUCUUGGGGCUUAACCCUGAGCGUGCUUUCGAUACGGGUUGACUUGAGGAAGGUAGGGGAGAAUGGAAUUCCUGGUGGAGCGGUGGAAUGCGCAGAUAUCAGGAGGAACACCAGUGGCGAAGGCGGUUCUCUGGGCCUUUCCUGACGCUGAGGAGCGAAAGCGUGGGGAGCGAACAGGCUUAGAUACCCUGGUAGUCCACGCUGUAAACGGUGGGUACUAGGUGUGGGGUCCAUUCCACGGGUUCCGUGCCGUAGCUAACGCUUUAAGUACCCCGCCUGGGGAGUACGGCCGCAAGGCUAAAACUCAAAGGAAUUGACGGGGCCCCGCACAAGCGGCGGAGCAUGCGGAUUAAUUCGAUGCAACGCGUAGAACCUUACCUGGGUUUGACAUGGAUCGGGAGCGCUCAGAGAUGGGUGUGCCUCUUUUGGGGUCGGUUCACAGGUGGUGCAUGGCUGUCGUCAGCUCGUGUCGUGAGAUGUUGGGUUAAGUCCCGCAACGAGCGCAACCCUUGUUCACUGUUGCCAGCACGUUAUGGUGGGGACUCAGUGGAGACCGCCGGGGUCAACUCGGAGGAAGGUGGGGAUGACGUCAAGUCAUCACGCCCCUUAUGUCCAGGGCUUCACGCAUGCUACAAUGGCUGGUACAGAGAGUGGCGAGCCUGUGAGGGUGAGCGAAUCUCGGAAAGCCGGUCUCAGUUCGGAUUGGGGUCUGCAACUCGACCUCAUGAAGUCGGAGUCGCUAGUAAUCGCAGAUCAGCAACGCUGCGGUGAAUACGUUCCCGGG
rnacentral:rRNA from 1 species